GCGGGAUUGGCCUAUCGGUUGGGCACCAGCUUCCCAAGCUGGCAAGACGGGUUCGACUCCCGUAUCCCGCU
rnacentral:tRNA from 1 species